AUACGGAGGGUGCAAGCGUUACUCGGAAUCACUGGGCGUAAAGGACGCGUAGGCGGGUUGGCAAGUCAGAUGUGAAAUCCUACAGCUUAACUGUAGAACUGCAUUUGAAACUGCUAACCUAGAGUAUGGGAGGGGGAGAUGGAAUUAGUGGUGUAGGGGUAAAAUCCGUAGAUAUCACUAGGAAUACCGAAAGCGAAGGCGAUCUCCUGGAACAUAACUGACGCUAAGGCGUGAAAGCGGGGGGAGCAAACAGGAUUAGAUACCCUAGUAGUCC
rnacentral:rRNA from 1 species